rnacentral:ncRNA from 1 species
AGGAGCCGUAUGAGGUGAAAAUCUCAUGUAUGGUUCUGUAGAGGGGAUAAGGUGUAUUUCGUUGCCUGGCUUCUUCUAGCUUGGCUAGAAAAUAAACUAGGCUAGUUUAAAUUUGCUUCCAGCAAGCUAAGAUGGAUUUGUUUAGUUGCCUACACUAU